CGAGACCUCAGGUCAGGCGGGGCUACCCGCUGAAUUUAAGCAUAUCAAUAAGC
rnacentral:rRNA from 1 species